CUCAAUUCUCUUCUUGCCUCUGUAUCCAGCCACAACAACUGCAUCGUAUACUGGGAGCCACUUGUAGGGGUUCACAGUGACGCAGAACAACCCUGAGUAGGUCUGAAGAUGUGAACAGAAACAUUUCCAGAAGAGCAGACUUUCAAAAAUGGUUAGGCAACAAACUUUUACAGGAUCAAGAAUAUGGUGUUCCCGAGGCAUGCCAAGUCAUCUUGCAGAGACAUCAAGAUCAGAUGUGGAGAAGCACUCAGCAUCACGGCUCUUGGCUCUCAUCUUGUUGACCUGGGUUUCCGCGAUGUCAGCACGCUCCUGAGCUUCCUCCAGCUCAUGCUGUACCUUCCUGAACCUGGAGAGAUUCCUGACAUUAUGAGUCUAAACAGAAGAAAACUCUCUGGAUUAUCUGCAUGGCACAUCCUUGGAUGAGUUCUUGUUUUUUUAUUAUAAGUGUGUUGGUUCAGUGAUGGCUGAGUGGGUGAGCACUCUUUUGUCUCGGCGGGAGUGAGCAGAGAUGGAGAGCGAGAGCUGGAGAAUUGGAUUACCUACCACUGGUCUGGUCUAGAGUUUCAUACCAUAUUUCUAAUCAGGAAAGGACAAGACAGGCAACUCACUUGCCCUCGGCAGUCUGAAGGGAAGUGGUGAGGAGUGAGCUACACCAGGAGCACCUGCUCUCCGCAAAGGUCUUUUUCAUUUUCUUCUAGACGUGGCUGACGUGUGUCUGAACUGUGGCCGGCGCACAAAAGCAUGAAAAAAAUACAGCCUGGAUGGUAACGUAAACCUGAACAGGUGCAGAAUGAGGGGCACACAUCUGAGAAGAAUACAAGCAAACACACAAAUGUGCUAAAUAAUACACAAGUUCACUGGAUAAAUAUAUUUUAAAUAAUGUUCUUUUUUUUUUUCUUCCACUUUCUGAUCAACAGAUUGACUCUUGUGGUGAAAACGGGAUGGGAGGAUGCUAGACAAAUAUACAGAUGUGUGUCUUUGUUUGGGUGUGUGGACGUAUGUAUAUGGGUAUGUAUGUGUUUAAUUGUAAAACUGUACAUUUGAAUCCUUUUCAAUAAUUAUUUUGGUGAGAUUUUGAGUAUCAGGAUUAUUACAGUAAUUAAGUGAUUAUGGCAUGCUUCAAUAGACACAAUCACCCACACAAAAAAAAAAAACAUAU